CGUCAGAAAAUGCGCUCAUUUCCUCGCCUGUUGCUGCUAGCCCCAUGUUUAAUUUGUCUUUCUGUCGAUCUUUCUAAGGGAUGAGUUGCCCUCUCACUCCUUUUCAACUCCCCUAUUCCAUCUUAAUUUCCCUUUCAAUUCUCCCCCUUUGAACUAUCUAUUGGAGUCUUACACCCGCUUAGUACACUUGUCAGUCAUUUCAAUUUUAACCUCAAUGAUGUCGAUCCAAUCACUUCGAGGCUGUUGACUCCAGAUCAGAGGCUCCAUUACCCCUAACGUUAACAAGUUUCUCUCUUUCCCUACCCGUCUUGAGUUUCCAUCCGUUUCCUCAAAGGAGCUUUGGUUGUUUUUCAAAUAUCAAAAAGAACAUCAACUUAGAAUAGCAUCGCAAACCUCUGUUCAUCCUUCCUUCUCCUAUUAUCUCAUGGGUUCAACAGUGGGAGAGAAGCUGCUCAGAGCAGAUAGUAUUGGGACCUCUUGACUGGUAUUUGUCUUACAUUACAACCACUGCCAUGGUUAAACCAUAAAGAAUGGA